rnacentral:rRNA from 1 species
UGGGGAAUUUUACGCAAUGGGGGAAACCCUGACGUAGCGACACCGCGUGAGCGAAGAAGCCUUUUGGGGUGUAAAGCUCUGUCAGCUGGAACGAACGCAAUGACGGUACCAGCAGAGGAAGCAUCGGCUAACUACGUGCCAGCAGCCGCGGUAAGACGUAGGAUGCAAGCGUUGUCCGGAGUUACUGGGCGUAAAGGGCGUGCAGGUGGCGUCUUAAGUCUGUUGUGAAAGCGCCUGGCUUAACCGGGCGAGGCCAAUGGAGACUGAGAGGCUGGAGGACGGCGGAGGGGUGUGGAAUUCCGGGUGUAGUGGUGAAAUGCGUAGAGAUCCGGAGGAACACCAGAGGCGAAGGCGGCACUCUAAGCCGUACCUGACACUGAGACGCGACAGCACGGGGAGCAAACG